GCCGCGGUGGUGAAAUGGUAUACACGGGGGCCUUAAGAGCCCUUGUUCGCAAGGACGUGGGGGUUCGAGUCCCCCCCGCGGCA
rnacentral:tRNA from 1 species